AACGAACGCUGGCGGCAUGCCUAACACAUGCAAGUCGAACGAGAUCUUCGGGUCUAGUGGCGCACGGGUGCGUAACGCGUGGGAAUCUGCCCUUUGGUUCGGAAUAACAGUUGGAAACGACUGCUAAUACCGGAUGAUGACGAAAGUCCAAAGAUUUGUCGCCAGAGGAUGAGCCCGCGUAGGAUUAGCUAGUUGGUGUGGUAAAGGCGCACCAAGGCGACGAUCCUUAGCUGGUCUGAGAGGAUGAUCAGCCACACUGGGACUGAGACACGGCCCAGACUCCUACGGGAGGCAGCAGUGGGGAAUAUUGGACAAUGGGCGAAAGCCUGAUCCAGCAAUGCCGCGUGAGUGAUGAAGGCCUUAGGGUUGCAAAGCUCUUUUACCCGGGAUGAUAAUGACAGUACCGUGAGAAUAAGCUCCGGCUAACUCCGUGCCAGCCGCCGCCGUAA
rnacentral:rRNA from 1 species